GGAGACUGCCGGUGACAAACCGGAGGAAGGUGGGGAUGACGUCAAGUCAUCAUCGGCCCUUACGGCCUGGGCUACACACGUGCUACAAUGGUCGGUACAAAGGGUUGCCAAGCCGCGAGGUGGAGCUAAUCCCAUAAAACCGAUCGUAGUCCGGAUCGCAGUCUGCAACUCGACUGCGUGAAGUCGGAAUCGCUAGUAAUCGUGAAUCAGAAUGUCACGGUGAAUACGUUCCCGGGCCUU
rnacentral:rRNA from 1 species